rnacentral:rRNA from 1 species
CCUACGGGAGGCAGCAGUAGGGAAUCUUCCGCAAUGGACGAAAGUCUGACGGAGCAACGCCGCGUGAGCGAAGAAGGCCUUCGGGUCGUAAAGUUCUGUUGUUAGGGAAGAACAAGUAACGCAGUAACUGGCGUUACCGUGACGGUACCUAACGAGAAAGCCACGGCUAACUACGUGCCAGCAGCCGCGGUAAUACGUAGGUGGCAAGCGUUGUCCGGAAUUAUUGGGCGUAAAGCGCGCGCAGGCGGUUCCUUAAGUCUGAUGUGAAAGCCCACGGCUCAACCGUGGAGGGUCAUUGGAAACUGGGGGACUUGAGUGCAGGAGAGGAAAGCGGAAUUCCUAGUGUAGCGGUGAAAUGCGUAGAUAUUAGGAAGAACACCAGUGGCGAAGGCGGCUUUCUGGACUGUAACUGACGCUGAGGCACGAAAGCGUGGGGAGCGAACAGGAUUAGAUACCCGUGUAGUC